rnacentral:rRNA from 1 species
UACGUAGGGUGCAAGCGUUAAUCGGAAUUACUGGGCGUAAAGCGUGCGCAGGCGGUUUUGUAAGUCUGUCGUGAAAUCCCCGGGCUCAACCUGGGAAUUGCGAUGGAGACUGCAAGGCUAGAAUCUGGCAGAGGGGGGGUAGAAUUCCACGUGUAGCAGUGAAAUGCGUAGAGAUGUGGAGGAACACCGAUGGCGAAGGCAGCCCCCCUGGGUCAAGAUUGACGCUCAUGCACGAAAGCGUGGGGAGCAAACAGGGAUUACGA